UGGGGAAUAUUGGACAAUGGGCGAAAGCCUGAUCCAGCAAUGCCGCGUGAGUGAUGAAGGCCUUAGGGUUGUAAAGCUCUUUUACCCGGGAUGAUAAUGACAGUACCGGGAGAAUAAGCUCCGGCUAACUCCGUGCCAGCAGCCGCGGUAAUACGGAGGGAGCUAGCGUUGUUCGGAAUUACUGGGCGUAAAGCGCACGUAGGCGGCUUUUCAAGUCAGGGGUGAAAUCCCGGGGCUCAACCCCGGAACUGCCCUUGAAACUGGAUGGCUAGAAUCUUGGAGAGGCGAGUGGAAUUCCGAGUGUAGAGGUGAAAUUCGUAGAUAUUCGGAAGAACACCAGUGGCGAAGGCGACUCGCUGGACAAGUAUUGACGCUGAGGUGCGAAAGCGUGGGGAGCAAACA
rnacentral:rRNA from 1 species